UACGUACCGUACGAACGUUAUUCGGAAUUACUGGGCUUAAAGGGUUUGUAGGCGGCCUUGUAAGUCAGGUGUGAAAUCCCUCGGCUCAACCGAGGAAUAGCGCUUGAUACUGCAAGGCUUGAGGGAGACAGGGGUAAGCGGAACUGAUGGUGGAGCGGUGAAAUGCGUAGAUAUCGUUUGGAACGCCAAUGGUGAAAACAAGUAGCUGGGGAUGUGCCGACGCUGAGACACGAAAGCCAGGGGAGCGAACGGG
rnacentral:rRNA from 1 species